GAUGAACGCUGGCGGCGUGCCUAAUACAUGCAAGUCGAGCGAACGGACGAGAAGCUUGCUUCUCAGUUGUUAGCGGAGGACGGGUGUGUAACACGUGGAUAACCUAUCUAUAAGACUGGGAUAACUUCGGGAAACCGUAGCUAAUCCCGGAUAAUCUUUUGAAACGCAUGGUUCAGAAGUGAAAGAUGGUCUUGCUGUCAGUUAUCGAUGGAUCAGCGCUUCAUUGGCUAGUUGGUAAGGUAACGGCUUACCAAGGCAACGAGGCAUAGCCUACCUGAGCGGGUGAUCGGCCACACUGGAACUGGAACACGGGCCAGACUCCUACGGGAGGCAGCAGUAGGGAAUCUUCCGCAAUGGGCGAAAGCCUUACGGAGCAACGCCGCGUGAGUGAAUAAGGUCUUCGGAUCGUAAAACUCUGUUAUUAGGGAAGAACAUAUGUUUAAGUAACUGUGCACAUCUUGACGGUACCUAAUCAGAAAGCCCCGGCUAACUACGUG
rnacentral:rRNA from 1 species